CCUAUUCCAACACUGAAGAAGCUGGGCUGCCCAAAGGUCUUCCUGCGUAUAAUCCUUGGCCUCUACCUGCAAUCAGGAUCUACAGGGAAGGUCUGACUGAGGGGAGAGCAGCGUUGGACUUUCCGCCAUCCUUGUACUGCCAUACAUUUUUAAAAGGAACAGGGAGACUACUGUGUGAAGACUCAUUGUUUGUGCAAUCAUGGGCUCCCCAGAGAGAUCCUUGGAGACUAUUGUACAGCAAACAGAUGUAAAGCUUAGCCCAAGAAAGUGGUAUAUUAGCACAAGUUCUGAUGACGAGAAACUUCCGCCUGCCAGGCAUCCUGAAGAAGAAGACCAAGAAGUUUAUGAAAUCUGGCAGGGAAUCUUGGAGGUUGCAGCUGUAGAAUCUUUUGGAGCCCAGUAGGGUGAGGUCUGAUGUCUUGACACACACCCUCUAGCAAUGUGGAACGAUACAGAGCCAGGGAACAUGCAUAUCAGGAACCCUCCUGCAGUGAGAAUGCAUCAACCCAGUCAUGUUACUAUGCAGAAUUUCCUAGGACUACAAGUGAAUGAUUCAGAUUACAUACCAGCAAGGAAAAGGAAGUCUGCUAUGAAGGGACUCGUGAGAACGGGGGUAUAUGGAGUUUUAAAAUACUGUCUGAAGAAUUACAUGCAUGAUUCAUGCUACGGGUGUAAGGUUCAAGCAGGGGGUCAAGACUCACAUGAAUGUGUCACCUGGACUGAAAGAAAUAUUUCCAGAUUUAUUAGAAUAUUGUCUUCAAGGAUGUGUGAAAGCAGUGCUCCACAUAAUCAUUAUAAUUGGUUAUAGUCCGAAAAUGCUAAUGCUGACUAGUGAAACAGUGGAUCGGACUCUAAAUCUCAUCACCAGAGUUAAGGAUUCUGAUGACCCGAAGGUGGUGUUAGAAGCUAUCCCGCAUCAGAAAGAUUCCAGAAUGCUCUCUUUUGUAAACUGUGUCCUCGAAAAAAGAGAGUACAGACAAUUUCUUGUUCCAGAGGUAGCUGUAUAAACUCCCUUGCAAAAGUAUAAAUGUAGUAUUUAAUACUGCUGCAUUCCUGUGGUGUGUUGUUUUUGUCAGCACAUCCCUAACAUGGUCUCUAUGAAGAAACACAGCUUCAGACUGCAUCUGUUUUUCUAUUAAAUGCUAUUUAUUAUGUAUCGUUUCAUAAAAAU